UUUAUACUCCCUCCGUCCGAAAAUACUUGUCCUAAAAAUGGAUAAAAUGGAUGUAUCUAUAACUAAAAUAAGUCUAGAUACAUCUAUUUCUAGGACAAGUAUUUCCCGACGGAGGGAGUAUGUC
rnacentral:pre_miRNA from 1 species